GUUGAAUGUACCCUUUACCUUUCAUUUUGUGUGUGUGAAUUCCUUUAGAAAAAUUUACUCUAAUAUUUUUUAAUGCAUACAAAUGAUAUAGUCCAACUAUAUAGAAAAAUAUUAAGGAAGAUGGGUACAGAUACAAUACUCAGAUAUAGUUUGGUGCAUCAGGAGUUGUUUUGAAAAAAAAAAAUGAGGGACUUCCAACCAGUCCUGUUUUCUGAUGUUCGUCGUCCUACAGCUGAAAAUAUAUCUCCACUUUAGAAAAGGCACCCGGGAGUAAGCAAAGGCCAUGAGGAGCAUGUGGUGGGAUCAGUAAUAUAAUUAGCACUAUUUUCCUGGAGCUAGUGUGUGUGAAAAUUGGGUUAAAGGUAUAGUAUAAAGAGUUUCCUUUUUUUUUUUUCAAGGAAGGUUUAUUUAAAAGCACCAGUUUUAGUUUUUAUUUCCAAUAAAAGAUGAAAGGUUAUUUACUGCAGUUUCAGAUCCAUAUUCUAGGAAACUCUGUCUCGCUUGAGUGGUAACUCCUAAUGGUUUAUUUCUCUGGUAUACUAUAUAUUAAAUGCAUUGCACCUGUUCAUACAGACUGCCUUGCAUUGUGUUUGUGUAGCUGGAUGCCUCAAACAAGAAACCAGGCUGCUUUCUUCUAGGGUACUAGCCUAUUAGCAAGUUAAUUAGACUUAAUUCUGUUUUGUCUUACAGUUUUGUUUAUGGUCUUGGUUUAUUUACUGAACAGUGAUUUCUUCUUUGCAGUUAUCAGUUUUGUCUGAGAUCAGUUUUCCCAUUGUAAGGAGUCUGCUUCUUACAGUCUCCUUUAAGACUGCUCUGACUUUAAAAUCAUUACUAGGCUUUUGUCAGAGCAGAUUUGUUGACAUUUUUCUCACAUUCAAAAAAUAAAUUUGAAAGAUUGCACAAAUAAGCUAUGUAAUUCCUUAUUUCCUGCUAAUAUGCAAAAAUGUAUUUAUGAUAAUUACACACGUACUGUGUGCCAGAGCUGAAACAAUACAUUCCUCAUAAUGGAGCAUAAAUAAAGAAGGUGGAGCCAGCUGCUCUUAAACUGUUUAUUUGCAAGCACUAAUGCUAUAGAGACUAUACCUUUCCACUCUGUUAGUCUGCCCAUACUGAACCUGUUGCUGCAUUAGACGAGUUGCAUUUUCCUGGAUAGGGGAAGGAGGGCUGUCUGCUGUCUGGUAGGAGGGCUUUGUCUGUGCCUUUCUCUCUCUCUGUUUCUGUUUUUCUUUCUCUCUCUCCUUCUCUUUCUCUCUCACUGGCUUGCUUGCUCUGUCUCUGUCUUUCUCUCUCUCUCUGCCCCCCCUUUCCCUCCCUCUCUCUUGCUCUCUCUCUCUCUCUUCCCGUCUCUGUGGUUUGUAAGGUAGGUUGCAGUGUGUGUAUAUACACAACAUCAAGAGCAGGAAAAUGGACUCAUUAGGGAGGCAGGCAGUCAUUACCACUCACACUGUACUUCCAGGGAGACACCGGUUAUGAGAAGAGAGACUCAGCGCUGGGGAAGAAGAUAAAUGAAUGGAGUGUUUGAAUUGCCCUUUGCAACUCUGAAGACUGAAGAGUUCCUGAUGAAUUGCAUGUCUGUUUGUGCCUCAUAGCCGCACAGGCAGCAGAAGGAGAUGGUCACACUGGGGCUGACUUGAGCAUGGGAGACCUUAAAGCCCGCCUCCACACUCAUAUGCUUCCUCCAACAAAGCCACACCUUUUCCAACAAGGUCAGACCUCCUAAGAGGGCCACUCCUCAUGGGCCAAGAACACAUACGUGUCUAUGCCGUCCUUCCUGUUCACUCCAGCACACAUAGUGUUUUCUGUGGAUCAACAGUUGCUCGUCCUGGUUAUGCUCCGCUUCACUAACCAUUUUCAUACAUUCCGUCAUUGUGUACUCACAGAAAACUCUUAUGUCAAGGAAGCAAAGAAAGAACGAAUUACUCCUCCUGUUUUACAGGAUUAGAAUAUUUUCCAGGGUGAUCUUGUUUAGUGAAAGAAAAAUCUCAGUAACCAAAACUUUUUAUUGCAGUUUUGUACGUUGGAGGCAGGGACCACAGGGAGUGUUGUUGAUGAUGCCUUCCUGGGUGAAGCUUGACUUCAUUUUGGAAACAAUGUCUCUCAGGGAACUAGCGCUCAUCAUACUAUACAAGUUGAAGUUUCUGACACCUUUGUUCCCAGCACUGGGAUUAAAUAAACUCUCACCACCUUCCAGGCACAUGGGUUCCGGGGUAGAAGUCAGGUGCUGUGAAUAUGUGGCAAACACUUUUCCAGUGAAAUCGUCUCCUGAACUACUUGCCACAGCAUACUUUUACAAGAUCAACUCACUCAAUUAUCUGAGAAAAUAUAAAAUCAUAUUAAACAUUUCCAGUUUAAUGUUUUAAAGAAGUUUUGAACAUAGGGCCUGGAGAGAUAAUUCAGUUCAGAGUACCGACUGUUAUUUUAGAGGGCCCGGGGCCCAAAUCCCAGCACCUAAAUGACAGCUCACAACUAUCUGUAUCUCCAAUUUUAGGAGAUUUGACAGACUUUUUUGGCUUCUGCAGGCAUCAGGCACACAUGUGGUGAGCAGAUAUAUAUGCAGGCAAACACUUAGACACAAUGAAAAGUAAAUCCAUGUUUACACAUUUAAUUAGGAAGAUUACUAAUAUGCAGUGCUUUAUUUUCCUGUUAUAAGAAGAAGAAAUGGGGUAGCCAAUGUAGAGAGUAAGGCACCUGAAGUUUGUGUUUCAUAUGAGGUGACUUUCUGGAUACUGAUUGAGAAUCUUCAUCUCAUUUCCUGUUUGUCCUUCUAGAAACACAGCUUGGUUUUAUAACAUUAUCUGGUAGCCUGGUAUAGCAUUGGUUUUAAAGAAUCCCCUGACUAAAUGCAAAUAUGUUUAUGAAAACAGUGAUACAUGGUUCCAGGAAUGUGGAUGCUACAGUUGACAAGAAAUGGCCAAACGCUUAGUUGAGAAAAGGUUUGGAGAAAGACCAAUUAUUAAAAUUGUGUUUUUCCCAAUUAAGAGGAAAUAAAAUAAAUAGGAAAUGUCAUUCUUUUCAUCUCUUCCUGUGCAACAAUCAAACAAAAAUGAGACAUAUCCAAACUCCUUUUCUUUGGAAGACAGGCAAAAUCAAACAUCAUAAACUAUUAUAACACUUUGUAGCUCUCUUUCUCUCCCCUUCUCCCUCUCUCCUCCUCCUCUUCCUCCUCCUCUUCCUUCUCUUUCUCCUCCUCCUCUUCCUCUUUCCGUUCUACCUCCUCCUCCUCCUUCUUUGGUACAGACUUGAUAAACUUAAUUCAUUGUAUAAAGGAAAUAGAAUGGAACCUCGUUUGGAUGUUACAAAGCUCACAAGAAGGCUGAAGUAACAUUAAGUAGGGGUAGACCAGAUGUGUAGUGGGAAACAGUACAGAACAUAAUGCAUGUUUUGUAUAGUGGCAUAGAAAUAGAAGACAUUGUGGUCUCUUAAAAUGAAGUGUCAAAAGUUAGGUAUGCAGAAUCAGAGAGAUGGUGAUGAUAAACAGAAAGGAAGCUGGCUGAGAGAAAUAAGAAAUAGAAAAGGAAAGGAAAGCUAUCAUCGAGCCAAAAUGAAUACUAGAAACAAAGCGUGUGGAAGGUGGAAGAUACUUCUAACACUUAACUAGAAUUAGGAUCAGAAACAUCAUUUUUAGAGUUUUCAAAUGCACGCAGAUGAGGCUUAGUGAAGAGCAUUUGGCUACCAUGUCAGGCCCGUGCCUCCAGUCUCCAGCACCGGUUUAUUUAUUCAGUCCCAGUGCUAGUGCCAAGAAUAAACUCUUCUAUUAAGUUUAUUUUUUAAAGAAACAUAGAAUUAACAGCGAAAUGAGAACAUGUGGAUAUAGAUAAAACACUGUUCAGUAUCCAUAAAGUUAGCCACUCUACUAGAAAAAAUUAAAAUGAAUGCAUUUACCAUUCAACUCAGCAAGAUGGGUAAAGGAAGAAAAAGAAUCUGCAAAACAGGAAGAAUAAAUCUGUAAAAAUAAAGUUGGAAAUUAUAAAUAAGAAAAAAUUUAAAAAUAUACUAAUAAUUCAGAGAAAAAAGAGGAAAAAAAGCUGAAAAAUCUAGUAUCAGUUGACAAUUACUAAACAACAAAACCCCCACAAAUACAUAAAAGUAGAAAGUAAAUGGAGAAUUCACUAAGAAAGGAAUUAAGUUUAAGCUUAGUAUAACAUUUUCUUCAGAGAAACUUAAAACUUUGAAUAUAAGUGAAUUUAAGUAAAUAUAAAUCACUAAAGGGCUAUAAAAUAAGUAAGAAAUUCACAUUGAACUACCAUCAAUUAUAUACAUACCUGUAUAUAUACAUAAUAUAGGAUGUACGUGUGCG
ensembl:lncRNA